UACGGAAGGGGCAAGCGUUGUUCGGAAUCAUUGGGCGUAAAGCGCGUGUAGGCGGUUUCGUAAGUCUGCUGUGAAAGUCGGAGGCUCAACCUUCGAAAGCCGGUGGAUACUGUGAGACUUGAGUACGGAAGAGGAGAGUGGAAUUCCUGGUGUAGCGGUGAAAUGCGCAGAUAUCAGGAGGAACACCAACGGCGAAGGCAGCUCUCUGGGACGUUACUGACGCUGAGACGCGAAAGCGUGGGGAGCAAACAGG
rnacentral:rRNA from 1 species